AGAGCAUGUUGCGGGUGCAGACAAGAUUGGGCCACUGUCUGAGCUACAGCGGGUGCUAGGAAGGAAGUCUCCAAAUGGACAUACCCAAUGGAGUAUCAUUUAAAGGAAUCAUCACAGGAGUUUACAUGGAGAAUCAGGAGAAUACUUGUUAACUGUCAGUGCCGAGAACUCAGCUGCACUGAGUAUAGUGCAGUUGCUAUAUGCUAGCAUUACUGUACAUUCAAUGAUGGGCUGAGAUGACUGAGGCUGUGAUGCUGGACACACACGAUUCUUGUUUCUAAACUCCCUAUAUUGCCAAGCAAAUUCUCCAGCCUUUUUUUCCUACCGUGGCUACACUGGGAAUUGGAUUGUCUCAUCUCAGCCCUCCUAUCUCCAGGAGUAAUCGGAAGAUGCAGUGAAAGAAAGAGAAAACUAAGUACAGUGGAACUGAAAACACAUCACAUUUGCCUGGUGAAGAAUGUUUUCAUCUUCUAAGCUUCAUGUUUUCUUUUACUUCAGUUUCUCUUUGCAGGUGAAGGAGAGGAGAGCUGAACCUGAAUUCUGCCUACUGAAGUUGUCUCCUCUUGUAAUGCCCAUUCUUUUUUUAAAGUUAUCCACUAGUCUAGCUUUAGUUUUAUCCCAUCUUUUACUUUAAACAAAAAAAAAAAAAGUUGAGUUCAUAGUUCUCAAAAUGCUUUUAGGGCCAAAACCUCCUGCCCAUUCUUAUGUUGUUAAAUAAAUAAAGUAUUUACCUUCUGUUGAUUACCAUAAUUCUUGAUUAUGCAGGGAGAAAGUAGAGGAAAAUGCUAAGAAAAUGAGUUCACAGAAAGAACAGCAAAGCAUUUAUUAUUUCCACUCCUCAGCAUACUACGCUUAAAAGUGACAUGUAAAUAAGCUAAUUUAAUUACAGUUCUUCAAACUCUAGUUAGCACGAACUAAAAAGUAUUUGCUAGCAAUUGCAAUCUAAAAUAAAAUGCACUGAGCUAUGUAACAGUUUAAGUCUAGAGAAUCAGCACUGUAGCUCAACGGGCCUCUUUUUCUCCUUCCAAAGACUGAAAGUACAAGAGCACUUUUAAGACUUUAGCUUUUAUGGGGAAAGUAUAGCUGGUCACCUCCUGUUCUUAAAGAGCUGUAGGCAUCUGUUCUAUAGGAAGCUGAAACAAGGGGCUGGCACUUCCCUCCCAAUAAAGAAAACAACUACUUCUAAUUUGCAUGCAUUAAUGGAUUUACAUCAUUAAUAUUUAAAGUUGCCCAUUGUCCAGCCUUGAGGCAUUGCUUUAAAAAAGCUGGGUUGAUUGGCAAAAAGCAGGUCAGAUGGCAACCUUAAUUGGAAUGGAAGCUAUUAGUCAUUAGAGUGCCUAUAGCUGUGCUUCAACCCUUUGCCUCUAUUUUAUGCAUAGCAGGGUUUGUAUCAUAAAAGCAGACCUGAAAUAGGAACGUUCUUAUAGAUCUGACAAAGGAGUGAACCACAAAGGAGUGCAUCUAAAUCUAUGGAGAACUACUAAAUCUAAUAGCUCUACAAGAUCAGAUGGACAAUCCCACAACUGCAUUUUUCUUGCACUAAAAAACUUAUAAAGAAGAAUGCAAAAUCUACCCUUUUCCUUCUGUGGAGGAAAAACAUGUUGCAUUGAGAUCAAGACUAAAUUGGCACAGUCUUAUCCUCGGGAUAAGAACCUUAUUGUGGAUAAUUCUCAUGAAACCCCUUGUUUUUAAAGCUGGGUCACAUUCAUCUCCUGGUGUUUCAGAGGCACAUCUACUCCUAGCUGUCUGCAGCCUCCAUGUCAGUUGCAUAUAGGAGUUUGUCACAUACAUUAUAUUCUUCGUGAUGAGGAAUAGUUAAGGAUUCUGGUUUUGUGCAUUUCAGGAACUUUCAAGGGGCCUACAUGAGGGUUCACACUGUUUAUUGAAAAUGACAGAUCUGUGGCCAAGUUGCACAGUAGCAGAAAGAAUUUAAAACUUGUGUAGGAAAGUGUCAGUGAAACUCCUGAAGUCCUGAAGAAAGACUACUGAAUUAAUCAGUUUUCUCUUCUAUUUUUCACCACUUUUUCCAUGUUACAGAAAUACUUUUCUCAAUAAACUACCUGAUAAAAUGAAAAGUUAAACUGAUUCAUCUCUGUACAUAGGUGCUAUAAAUGAACUAUAUUACAUAAAAAAUAAAGAUUAAACUUAGAUUAAUCUUAAAAAGUAGAUUAAAACUUUUUUAGCAUAAAACUAUAUAAAAAUGGAAUUAUGGUGCUUACUAAUCAAUCAAAUAUUAUUUGCCCUGUUAUCUACAUUUGUUUUUAUGACCAUGGUGAAUAUACAUACUGAAUGUUAUUCAGGGCAGUGGCAGUGACACUUAACUGAAUGCAUUGCAUUUUUUUUCCCCAGUCCAGAUCUUGGAAUGCAACAGAGCACCUAGAACAGCCACUCAGAAAUUUUUUAAAUUUAAAAGAUUCUAGAGAUAAAAUAAGUCUUAGGUCUUGUACAGAUCAUAUGUUUUUGGUGGGUUUUUUUUUAGAAAAGUAGAAAUACACUUGUCCUCCUCUUCACAUUGGCAAAGGUCAAAUUUAUUUUGUUUCUGAAGCACUUCCAUCAUAAUCAAACUUGUAUUCCAGGGUUUUUGUUCUUACAUUAUUUUUGGCAGUGCUUCAAAGAGUAUCUGCUAAAAGCUGAAGCAAAGUUUCCAGAAGGGCAACCAGCUCUCUAAAUGAAAUGAAAUGUAUCCUCCUGUUAUAUCAUGGCCACAAACACCUAUUGGACAGUGUUUGUGACAUCAUUGCUAACAAUACCAAACUUCUUCUUGCCCCAGAUAAAUUUUUUAAGGACUUUAAAAAAUUAAGUUCAAGAAAAGCUUAGAAGACAUUGACAAUACCAAAUGACUUUUCAUGUAGCCCUCUUAGAAGAAAAAUAUUCAGCAGCAAUAUGCCACCAGUUAUUUAUGGCAGCACUAAGAGGAAAGAAGCUUCCAUGGCUCUGAAAACAUGAUCAUCUGUAGAAGUCCUUAGAAACAUACAAAGUUCUUCAAGAAGUGAUGGAGUGCUGCUAGGACGCCAAGAGCAAAGAGACAAAACUAAUUCUACCCAGUACAGAGUCUUCAAGCAAAAAGUGUAGGUCCCCAAGGAAUCACCAAUGACACUGGAGCUGCAGAGUCUCACAGUAAUAAAUUGCACACCAUAAGAGGAGAAGUGCAAUUAUAGCUGAUGGUCAAAGGCCACUAAGAAGUUCAACAGUAACAGACAAGUGGUGCAAUAAACGAGUCAAACUAGGGUACAGCAAAACACCCUCAAGUCCAUAUCUACAGAGCUGUGGUUUUGUAAGCAGUCUCUAGGACAAAUUUGUUUUACCGUAUUUUAUGGACUAUAAGACUCACUUUUUUCCUCGAAAAAUAUCCGCCAAAAUUCAGGUGCGUCUUAUAUGUUUUAACAGUUUAAUAUGUUAAAACUCUGAAAAACUGGAUUAAAAUUAAGGUGCGUCUUAUAGUCCGUAGCGUCUUAUAGUCCGUAAAAUACGGUAUUUGUGGUUUAUUUAGUUCCUGUGAAUAAGAUUACAAGCAUCAGACUUACCAACAUUUCCAAAAUAUACAGAUUAAACAGUAUCGUACAAAAUAUCACUUGCAACCCUAAGUUCAAAUACAGUAUACCAAAUAUAUAAUAAUGACAGAUUUUGUUAUUAAAAUUACCAGAAAUUGCAGCCUUGGAAAAGAUGAAGUCUUUUAUAUAAAACAAGGAAGAGAGGAAAUUUUUCUAAUUUGAGAUGUGGGCAAAUUGAGGUACAGACAAAUUUUCAAUACAAAUUGAGAACAAAAUAAUCAUUAUUCAGUGUCUACACAACCCAGAAGGCCAUUAAAAUCAGCGACAAAAUGUACUGCAGUGAUGAGGGGAAAAUGCAUAUGUGCUCUAUAAGUAAAUUCAUAUAUUACCUGAACAAUGUGGCUUCAUCUGAUGUGAUUGCUUCUCACAACAUUCUAGUAAGAUUCAAAGGGAAGUGAUCCUGUGCGCAGGGUCACUUUUCCCCAUGUAAUGACAGCGUUGCCCUGUGUGUGUCUCUGA